GUAAAAUGGGUUGAGUUCUUGAUUUGAUUCUCCCCUUGGUCACUGUUGGUAUAUAGAAGAGCUACUGAUUUGUGUACAUUAAUCUUGUAUCCAGAAACUUUCUUGAAUUCAUUUAUCAGUUCUAGGAGCUUGCUGGAGGAGUUCUUAGAGUUUUCAAGGUAAAUAAUCAUAUCAUCAGCAAACAGUGACAGUUUGACUUCCUCUUUACCGAUUUGGAUGCCCUUUAUUUCUCCCUCUUGUCUGAUUGCUCUUGCUAGGACUUCCAUUACUAUGUUGAAGAAGAGUGGUGAGAGUGGGCAUCAUUGUCUUGUUCCAGUUCUCAGAGGGAAUUCUUUCAACUUUUCCCCAUUCAGUAUUACGUUGGCUGUCCUUUGUGAUUUACGCUUUAAAGAGGUUCUGUGCAAAAAUCACAAGCAUUCUUAUACACCAAUAACAGACAAACAGAGAGCCAAAUCAUCAGUAAACUCCCAUUCACAAUUGCUUCAAAGAGAAUAAAAUACCUAUGAAUCCAACUUACAAGCAACAUGAAGGACUUCUUCAAGGAGAACUGCAAACCACUGCUCAAUGAAAUAAAAGAGGAUACAAACAAAUGGAAGAACAUUCCAUGCUCAUGGGUAGGAAGAAUCAAUAUCGUGAAAAUGGCCGUAUUGCCCAAGGUAAUUUAAAGAUUCA
rnacentral:lncRNA from 1 species